AUUCCUUAGUCCUGCUUUAAAUUCUACCAUUUAAAAAACGAAUAUAGUGAUAAGUAACCUGGGGUUGGAUUGUGAUACAGGGAGCUCUGACACCUUGCCAGUGGGAUACGACCUUUCUGGAAGGAAAUAUAGAACGAAUGCAGAGCUUAGAGAAUACUCAUGACCCCGUAGUUCAUGCGUGUGUGUACACAUGCUGUGAAGAUUAACAGAGGUUCCAGGUGGUUGGAGACAAGUGUAAUAGGAUGUGAACAGGGUUGUUCCCUGGGCCCUGGCUAAGUUCCAAAGCUGUGCACAGAGGGUGGUUCCUCCCAUCUCAGGUCCUCUCUCUUCACAUCCCAACUAAAUGGCUCUGCUGAAGAAAGACUCAAGGUUUUGCUGAAAUACCCUUGCAGAAAACCUCCUCGGAACAUGGACCUACAUUUUCAGAAGGAAUUGGCAUGGUAAGGCAACACCAUUUGUUUUUCCCCCCACUUUUACUGAGAUAUAAUUGACAUAUAACAUUGUAUAAGAUUUAGGUAUACAACAUAAUGAUUUUAUUUAUGUGUAUGU